UACGUAGGUGGCAAGCGUUGUCCGGAUUUAUUGGGUUUAAAGGGUGCGUAGGCGGCUUUGUAAGUCAGUGGUGAAAUAGGGCAGCUCAACUGUCAGGGUGCCAUUGAUACUGCGGAGCUUGAGUACAGAUGAGGUAGGCGGAAUUGACGGUGUAGCGGUGAAAUGCUUAGAUAUCGUCAAGAACACCGAUAGCGAAGGCAGCUUACUGGGCUGUAACUGACGCUGAGGCACGAAAGUGUGGGGAUCAAACAGG
rnacentral:rRNA from 1 species